rnacentral:rRNA from 1 species
UACGUAGGGUCCGAGCGUUGUCCGGAAUUAUUGGGCGUAAAGAGCUCGUAGGCGGCGUGUCACGUCUGCUGUGAAAGACCGGGGCUUAACUCCGGUUCUGCAGUGGAUACGGGCAUGCUAGAGGUAGGUAGGGGAGACUGGAAUUCCUGGUGUAGCGGUGAAAUGCGCAGAUAUCAGGAGGAACACCGGUGGCGAAGGCGGGUCUCUGGGCCUUACCUGACGCUGAGGAGCGAAAGCAUGGGGAGCGAACAGG